rnacentral:rRNA from 1 species
AAUCAACGCUGGCGGCGUGCCUAACACAUGCAAGUCGAACGCGAAAGGGGCUUCGGUCCUGAGUAGAGUGGCGUCCGGGUGAGUAACGCGUGGGUAAUCUACCUUUGGGUGGGGAAUAACUAGUCGAAAGGCUAGCUAAUACCGCAUAAUGCAAUUUUCUACUAGAAUUUUGUUAAAGCAGUAAUGUGCCUAAAGAUGAGCCUGCGUCUGAUUAGUUUGUUGGUAGGGUAAUGGCCUACCAAGACUACUAUCAGUAGCUGGUCUGAGAGGACGGCCAGCCACAAUGGCACUGAAACACGGGCCAUACUCCUACGGGAGGCAGCAGUGGGGAAUUUUGCGCAAUGAGCGAAAGCUUGACGCAGCAACGCCGCGUGAAGGAUGAAAUCCUUCGGGAUGUAAACUUCGCAAGUAUGGGAAGAAAUCAAUGACGGUACCAUAUGUAAGCCCCGGCUAACUCCGUG